UUUUUCACACUUAAAUUAAUGAAUCUUUCAUGGUAUUUACAGGAUCAUUCCCUUUAAAAAUCAAAAAAAAAAAAAAAAAUGCUGUUGAACCAAAUGGAUGGUGUCUGUACAACCUCUGCAUAAAAAUAUCAAAUGCGUGUUGUACAGGACAGAGUACCUGCAUGUAGAUCACAAGCCCUGAAGGAAGCUCCAAGCUUCCAGGUCUAUGUGGCAUGAUUCCUACGGCAUUGGGAUGACAAUACAAAUCCUGUGCAAUAAAGAAUAACAAUUUGGUCACAGAAAACCCAACCAUGUUCACUUAGCCUAAUCCGUUUCAAAUUUCAAAUAAAACACUGAUAUAUUCUGAUAUCUUAAUUCUGAUGUGACCAUCCACUUCUUGUAGCUUGUUGCAGAUUGUUGUAGCUCCAAGACAGACAAGACAUACCAUGUCAAAAGAGACCACCAGCCAUCUGUCUCUCUCCCAUGGCAUUUUAGACUCCCCUACACAGAAGUGAACACAAAACUGAAUAAAUACAUUUUAAUGAAGUGAGCAGGUGGUUUCCUGAGCUGAGUGCCAUGCCUCGUAAUCAAGCCAUCGCGAUCAAUAUUGAGCACCACAUCCUAAUGAACUUGCGAAUAAACAAGUCUCCGUCAAGGUCUAGAAUACUUAAAGGGGUUAUAUGAAGCAAUUUAAUUUUUUAGUUUCUCUUAGGAGUGUUACAAGCUCUUGGUGCAUAAAAAAGAUCUGUAAAGUAGCAAAAACUAAAGUCUCAAAUCCCAAGAGAUGUUCUUUAUAAAAGUUGAAUCAACCACGCCUAACUUAAACGCCCCGAUGUGUCUACAUCACGAUGUGGGAAGAUUUGCAUAAUGCUGCCCAAAUUUUCAUGCAAAAAAAGGAGGCGCAACUUUUAUUCUUGCUGUUGCCGCCGCCACCAUGUUGUGGAGAUUUUCGUUGUGAAAACAAAACUACUUUGUUUGGUCUUCUAAAAGAAGACAGAAAUCAGUGGUUAAGUUUUUACAAUAAGUAUGAUCUGUAUUUACAACACUGGUCUACAACAGUUCAACCCAAAUAUUUAGAUGUCUUCAGCACAUUUUAUGGAGGAUGAGGACUGUUUCCAGUGAGAGUAGCCUACAAUACCAGUGUCUGUUUCUAAAAUGUGGGGCAAUUCCAACUUAGCAAGUACAGUCUGGUGCUUCUGACUCAUAGCCCGUCAAUACGUUAUUAUGUUUAAAGAAUUUGCCACUGAUGAUUCAAACGUGAGGUUUGAGCAGUGAAUAGUAGUGCUUGUUUGUUGUUUCUCUGAUCACAAAUGCAUACAUGGUUUUAUGUUUACACAGUGUGAUACGCAACGCAUAAAAAGACAGUACAAGUCAUUAUAAUUAGUAAUUAUGUCCCCACUUUAUGCAACAAAUGUCUGUUAAUUUCUGUCACAUGCAUGAUGAAUUCAGCCACAACGCACUAGAUAGCUGGCAAAUCAGUGCACACCUCGCUUUUCAGAACAAUGAGCUUUGUAAAAAUCUAUGCGUCCCACAAAGUCCGGGCAUAGAGGAGCAACAAUAAUGUACAUUAUGUGGAAAAUAAGGUUUCCUGUGCCAACCCAGUGACACAGAUAUUAGCAUGCGUGAGUUUACAGGUCCACCAAUAUGAAAAACUAAUCAUAGUUAUUUCAAAUGCAUGAUUAGAAGAAAAAGUGUUUUAAAUAAAUAAGUCGAAGGUUAAAGUCACAAUGAAACACAAGUACUGGCAUCUUUUCUUCGGAACCGUGAUGUACAUCUGAGUGUAGUCUCUCGUAGCCAGACCUUCAGACUGACAUCAGUGGAUUAGUGCAUUAGCAUGGUUUAAAUCGUACUUAUAUGACCACCUCAGUUCGUAGCAGUGAAUGAAGAUGUAUCAUAUCGAUCACAAGUGCAGUAUGGAGUACCUCAAGGCUCAGUACUAUGGCCGCUACUCUUCACGCUUUAUAUGUUACCCUUGGGAGAUCUCAUCAGGAAACAUGGUGUUAGCUUUCACUGUUAUGCUGAUGAUACUCGGCUCUAUAUUUCCUCGCAGCCCGGUGAAACACACCAAUUUGAAAAACUAAUGGAAUGCAUAGUCGAUAUAAAACAUUGGAUGACGAGUAAUUUCUUACUGCUAAAUUCAGAAAAAACAGAGGUGUUAAUUAUAGGGCCUAAAAACUCUGCUUGUAAUAACCUAGAACACUGUCUAAGACUUGAUGGUUGCUCUGUCAAUUCUUCGUCAUCAGUUAGGAACCUAGGUGUGCUACUUGAUCGCAAUCUUUCCUUAGAAAGCCACGUUUCUAGCAUUUGUAAAACUGCAUUUUUCCAUCUCAAAAAUAUAUCUCAAUUACGGCCUAUGCUCUCAAUGUCAAAUGCAGAAAUGUUAAUCCAUGCAUUUAUGACUUCAAGGUUAGACUAUUGUAAUGCUUUAUUGGGUGGUUGUUCUGCACGCUUAGUAAACAAACUACAGCUAGUCCAAACUGCAGCAGCAAGAGUUCUUACUAGAACCAGGAAGUAUGACCAUAUUAGCCCGGUCCUGUCCACACUGCACUGGCUUCCUAUCAAACAUCGUAUAGAUUUUAAAAUAUUGCUUAUUACUUAUAAAGCCCUGAAUGGUUUAGCACCUCAGUAUUUGAAUGAGCUCCUUUUACAUUAUACUCCUCUACGUCCGCUACGUUCUCAAAACUCAGGCAAUUUGAUAAUACCUAGAGUAUCAAAAUCAACUGCGAGCGGCAGAUCAUUUUCCUAUUUGGCGCCUAAACUCUGGAAUAACCUACCUAACAUUGUUCGGGAGGCAGACACACUCUUGCAGUUUAAAUCUAGAUUAAAGACCCAUCUCUUUAACCUGGCAUACACAUAACAUACUAAUAUGCUUUUAAUAUCCAAAUCCGUUAAAGGAUUUUUAGGCUGCAUUAAUUAGGUAAACCGGAACCGGAAACACUUCAAAUAACCCCCUAUGUACUUGCUACAUCAUUAGAAGAAUGGCAUCUACGCUAAUAUUUGUCUGUUUCUCUCUUGUUCCGAGGUCACCGUGGCCACGAGAUCCAGUCUGUGUCCAGAUCAGAGGGUCACUGCAGUCACCCGGAUCCAGUACGUAUCCAGACCAGAUGGUGGAUCAGCACCUAGAAAGGACCUCUACUGCCCAGAAAGACAGCGGAGACCAGGACAACUAGAGCCCCAGAUACAGAUCCCCUGUAAAGACCUUGUCUCAGAGGACCACCAGGACAAGACCACAGGAAACAGAUGAUUCUUCUGCACAAUCUGACUUUGCUGCAGCCUGGAAUUAAACUACUGGUUUCGUCUGGUCAGAGGAGAACUGGCCCCCCAACUGAGCCUGGUUUCUCCCAAGGUUUUUUUCUCCAUUCUGUCACCGAUGGAGUUUCGGUUCCUUGCCGCUGUCACCUCUGGCUUGCUUAGUUGGGGUCACUUCAUCUACAGUGAUAUCAUUGACUUGAUUGCAAAUAAAUGCACAGACACUAUUUAACUGAACAAAGAUGACAUCACUGAACUCAAUGAUGAACUGCCUUUAACUAUCAUUUUGCAUUAUUGACACACUGUUUUCCUAAUGAAUGUUGUUCAGUUGCUUUGAUGUAAUGUAUUUUGUUUAAAGCGCUAUAUAAAUAAAGGUGACAUUGACAUUGA